rnacentral:rRNA from 1 species
CGCUUAGAUGUUCUGCGCUGCGCGCUACGCUGAUGCACUUUACGAGUUUACGACCUUGCCCGAUAGGGUUGGGUAAUUUUUUUUUAAUGCAUCGUGCUGGGGAUAGAAUAUUGCAAGUAUCAAUCUGCAACGAGGAAUUCCGAGUAAGCGCGAGCCAUCGGCUCGUGCUGAUUACGUCCCUGCCCUUUGUACACACCGCGCUCAAAUGAAUAAUUCGGACUGCAGCAAUGUUUGGAUCCCGAACGUUGCAACGGAAAGUGUAGUGAGCCUUAUCACUUAGAGGAAGGAGAAGUCGUAACA